rnacentral:rRNA from 1 species
AUAGGUUAAUGAGGCGAACCGGGGGAACUGAAACAUCUAAGUACCCCGAGGAAAAGAAAUCAACCGAGAUUCCCCCAGUAGCGGCGAGCGAACGGGGAGGAGCCCAGAGCCUGAAUCAGUGUGUGUGUUAGUGGAAGCGUCUGGAAAGGCGCGCGAUACAGGGUGACAGCCCCGUACACAAAAAUGCACAUAUUGUGAGCUCGAUGAGUAGGGCGGGACACGUGGUAUCCUGUCUGAAUAUGGGGGGACCAUCCUCCAAGGCUAAAUACUCCUGACUGACCGAUAGUGAACCAGUACCGUGAGGGAAAGGCGAAAAGAACCCCGGCGAGGGGAGUGAAAAAGAACCUGAAACCGUGUACGUACAAGCAGUGGGAGCCUCUUAAUGGGGUGACUGCGUACCUUUUGUAUAAUGGGUCAGCGACUUAUAUUCUGUAGCAAGGUUAACCGAAUAGGGGAGCCGAAGGGAAACCGAGUCUUAACUGGGCGUUAAGUUGCAGGGUAUAGACCCGAAACCCGGUGAUCUAGCCAUGGGCAGGUUGAAGGUUGGGUAACACUAACUGGAGGACCGAACCGACUAAUGUUGAAAAAUUAGCGGAUGACUUGUGGCUGGGGGUGAAAGGCCAAUCAAACCGGGAGAUAGCUGGUUCUCCCCGAAAGCUAUUUAGGUAGCGCCUCGUGAAUUCAUCUCCGGGGGUAGAGCACUGUUUCGGCAAGGGGGUCAUCCCGACUUACCAACCCGAUGCAAACUGCGAAUACCGGAGAAUGUUAUCACGGGAGACACACGGCGGGUGCUAACGUCCGUCGUGAAGAGGGAAACAACCCAGACCGCCAGCUAAGGUCCCAAAGUCAUGGUUAAGUGGGAAACGAUGUGGGAAGGCCCAGACAGCCAGGAUGUUGGCUUAGAAGCAGCCAUCAUUUAAAGAAAGCGUAAUAGCUCACUGGUCGAGUCGGCCUGCGCGGAAGAUGUAACGGGGCUAAACCAUGCACCGAAGCUGCGGCAGCGAC